CCUACGGGAGGCAGCAGUGGGGAAUUUUGGACAAUGGGCGCAAGCCUGAUCCAGCAAUGCCGCGUGAGUGAAGAAGGCCUUCGGGUUGUAAAGCUCUUUUGUCAGGGAAGAAACGGUUGAGGCUAAUAUCCUCGGCUAAUGACGGUACCUGAAGAAUAAGCACCGGCUAACUACGUGCCAGCAGCCGCGGUAAUACGUAGGGUGCAAGCGUUAAUCGGAAUUACUGGGCGUAAAGCGUGCGCAGGCGGUUUUGUAAGUCUGUCGUGAAAGCCCCGGGCUUAACCUGGGAAUUGCGAUGGAGACUGCAAGGCUUGAAUCUGGCAGAGGGGGGUAGAAUUCCACGUGUAGCAGUGAAAUGCGUAGAGAUGUGGAGGAACACCGAUGGCGAAGGCAGCCCCCUGGGUCAAGAUUGACGCUCAUGCACGAAAGCGUGGGGAGCAAACAGGAUUAGAUACCCUGGUAGUCCACGCCCUAAAACGAUGUCUACUAGUUGUCGGGUCUUAAUUGACUUUGGUAAACGCAGCUAACGUGUGAAGUAGACCCGCCUGGGGGAGUACGGUCGCAAGAUUAAAACUCAAAAGGAAUUGACGG
rnacentral:rRNA from 1 species